rnacentral:rRNA from 1 species
UACGUAGGGUGCAAGCGUUGUCCGGAAUUAUUGGGCGUAAAGAGCUCGUAGGCGGUUCGUCGCGUCGGCUGUGAAAUCCCGAGGCUCAACCUCGGGUCUGCAGUCGAUACGGGCGGACUGGAGUUCGGCAGGGGAGACUGGAAUUCCUGGUGUAGCGGUGAAAUGCGCAGAUAUCGGGAGGAACACCUAUGGCGAAGGCAGCUUGCUGGGACGGUACUGACGCUGAGACGCGAAAGCGUGGGGAGCAAACAGG